UUCCUCUCCCCCAUACCCCCUACCCCGGUCUUGGAUGUUUUCUGGAGGAACUGGGGAGCGUGGGCGCGUUAAGUUAUAGGGAAAACCCCAAUUCCUGAGACGUGGAUGAGGGCGCAUUCUAGUCUGUGAUUCCGAAACCAGCCAUGAUUCGCUGUGAGCUUCCCACCCCUGUGCUGGAAGGCGCCAAGUUCUGAACACCUGUGGCCUCCUCGUGGCCUCCAGGUCCUCUGCGGGAAACACCCAGCGUCCUUUGUCUGACCAACUCCUACACGUCAAUCACCGGCAAUUCGGACGCCACCUCUUCCAGGAAAUUUCCCUGAAUCUGCAGAAAGUUACUCCUUCCCUGAGGAUGGAUGUCAGUUGCUGGAUUCGUGAACCUUCCCUUUGCCUUCAGUCCCACCAGUCUAUGGUCCAAACAUAAGAUCCUUUAAACUCCCGUAUGAGCCCUCCAGUGGGAGCUUCCGCAUAAGGCCUGGAACUAUGUAGACCAGGCUGGCUCUAGAUUCAGAGUUCCACUUGGUUUUGCCUCCUGAGUGCUGAGAAAGGACUAAAGGAGUGGCCUCCACACCCGGUACAAAUCCCAACACUCAAGAAUCAAGAGUUGCUGGAUAGCCAGGCUACAUAGAGCAUCUAUGCUGGGUCAGAGGAAACGUUCAGUCCAAGGGCAAGUUCAAGUCCACAGGUGAGGAGGCCAGGAUGCCUGCCUGCAGAGGACAGAGAGCCCCAGGCUGGCUGUCUCCCAGGCUCUUCUGUCAUCUAUGUCAAUAGAAGCAGGGCCGCUGAGCUCUACCUGUCCCUCCUGUCUUGCCAUCUGAACUCCGUCACUCCUCGCCUCCCCAUUCCACGGAAUGCAGAAGGAACCCAGCUGAUGCUCACAACAGUACCUCUGACCUGGUACCCACACUCAGUCUCGGAGAACCUGCUCUCUCGUCAGAGUCCUUUCUGCUGGGACUGACACCCAUCUCCAGGCCUUUCCUGGUCUAUCUAAGAGGAUGGGUCUGUUCACAGACUACCAAUAUCUCAGAACCCCCAUCUCAGGGUGGUCAAGGACCCUUUGACCGUGAAACCUCUGGAGCCAAGGAUGUCUUUAAAUCUAGAUGGUCUUGCCUCAGCCUCUCUGGUACUUGAGAUGACAGACUUGCACCACCAGAGACAAUCAUCCCGUCCCGUCCCGUGUCGUGUCGUCCCCCCCCCCCCCUCCCCGUUACACCACCACCCCACCUGCUGUGCCUCAGCCAUCUCCAGGAUCUUACUAUGUAACCCUGACUGGUCUUAGAACCCCUAGGCUGGCCUUGACCUUAUAGAGAUCCGCCUGCCUCUGCCUCCCAAGGGUUGGGAAUUAAAGGCGUGCGCCACCACUGUCCCACUGCUUGUUGAUGGCCCAUGAAGGACACUGGUGUUAAGUCCUGCUGCGGUGAGGCAUCAAGGCUCUUGUGAAGAUGCUCUGAUGUUUACUGGAGCCCUGGAACCACACCCAGCAUCAAAACAAAGCAGCGCCAGCGUCUGCCCCCUAUUCCACAACUGUCCUCUCCAUAGCGUGGAGUAGAGGCUGGUCACCUUUUGGUUGAUGACUUCUGCCUCUUCCUCCAGCAAGGCUACCAGCCGCCUUAGCAGGGCUUCCUUCUCCGUGGGUGGGGGUCCCUGGAACUCUGGGGGUGGGGGGCAGAAGAGAAUUGGACUGGGAAGGGCCCUGGCUUUGCUCCUACCAUCACCCCUCACCAGGGCUCCUCUGCUGCUUACCUGAACUGGGCGGGGACUUCAGUUGCUCCUGCACCAAUUGUUCCAGCCGCUGGGCAACCAGGGCAUAGAACUCGGAAGAGGCUGGGCCUGAGCAGAAAGAAGCAGCGACGCUUUCUGUUUACAGAACACGGUAUUUAUGGCGUCUCUCCUAACCAUCUUGCCACACAGCAACAAUUUCCACUUCACAAAAGGAUACACCUCGGCCAUGAGACGUUGGUAAAUAAAAGAUAUUAAAU
rnacentral:lncRNA from 1 species